UACGUAGGGGGGCAAGCGUUGUCCGGAUUUAUUGGGCGUAAAGAGCGUGUAGGCGGCCCGGUAAGUCCGCUGUGAAAGUCCAGGGCUCAACCCUGGAACGCCGGUGGAUACUGUCGGGCUAGAGUCCGGAAGAGGCGAGUGGAAUUCCUGGUGUAGCGGUGGAAUGCGCAGAUAUCAGGAGGAACACCGAUGGCGAAGGCAGCUCGCUGGGACGGUACUGACGCUGAGGCGCGAAAGCGUGGGGAGCGAACAGG
rnacentral:rRNA from 1 species